rnacentral:lncRNA from 1 species
AAACUUCAAGUGAAUAUUAAAAUAAAUUAUCGUUUAUUUCAAAUGGACAUACAAGCACCUUCAACAUGCAAAGGGAAGCGACCAACAGCGAGGCAUAGCAGUAUACCAGUGGGUGCACCUCAUGUUGAUGCAGCUUAACGAGAAGAAUCUUCCACAUAUUCACCAUUCACAUAUUCACAACUCUUGGUGGUUGGUAUACUUAUUAUAGCAUUUUCAUUACUUCUUUGUUACUUACUAUAGAGCCACAAGGGAAGUCAUUCGUUCACAAUUCCUUGUCCUUCGUCUAAUUGGAUCCAUCCGUUGUCGACACAUUUUAUAUUCAAUUCCAAAGGUAACAUUAUUGAUAGAAACUUAAAUGCAAUCUACGUUAUAAUGUCCUAUUGACUUCUUAAUUUUCAUGUUAUAUGUUAGGUCACGGUAUUCCAUACUUCUAUCAACAUUUACCGCAUCAAAGAAGCAUGUGAUUGUGAUAGGACAAAGUCAAUGGAGGGACAUAGCUAAACAAAUUUGCGUAUGGUUGAUGAAAUGCUAGUAGUAGAUAUUGUCCAUAAUCUUAUAAGCUUAAAGUGUACCUAUGGAGAGAACAAGAAUGGUGAAAUCUGAUUUAAAUUGUUAACUUGAUAAAUGUAGCGACCAUAACAUUAGCUAUAAUGGCAUAUCAUUCGUAAUUAUAAAACUUUGCUUUGGUUUUUAUCCUAAAUUUGCUAAAAGUUUUUGUGAUUACAUGCCAUUCACCCCACCUCCAUUAUCUGUCUUUUCUCAUUGCGUCCUUGCUUCGCAAAUUAGGCCAUUAGCAGCUCCUAUGCUAAAUGUAUCAGAAUUUGCAACUCCUCGGCUUGUAACGAAUUUCUCAACAAGUGGAGGACUUGCAAAUUCUGAUACAUUAAGCAUAGGAGCUGCUAAUGGCCUAAUUUGCGAAGCAAGGAAGCAAUGAGAAAAAGACGGAUAAUGGAGGUGGGGCGGAUGGGGUAUAAUCACAAAAACUUUCGGCAAAAUAAUGAUAUCAACAUAAGAGAAAAUGGAUUGAAGCAACCAUUCCUUGUUGAACUUGUAACAAAUGUAAUUUCAUUCACAAAUAUCACCUUCAGUCACUAUACUACCAAGUAAAUGAGUUCAAACAUGAUAAAAGAGCAAACUAUUUCGAAAUAGGUCACACAAUAGAUUAACCAUUUUAGAAUAUGACCCCAAACAAUAAAAAGUAUCCGAAAACAACAAUGAUACCUUUAUUGCCAUAUCGUUCAUCUAAAACACAAAUACCCAAUAACUUGGGGCUAUAGAUCUUCAAAAGAAGGCAAUGUUCUUUUCCAAAAGUCCUACACUUACAUAAAGAAUUGAAAUGACGAAAACUUAAAAUACCGCAAAAAAAGAAAUAGAAACAUAAGAAGGACGAAACAUUUUUCACAAAUGCAAAAUUUGAAAAUAUACUAGAGCACAUAGAACACAAGAAAUGCACAGCACCUAAAAACACUUUUAGUACUAAUUAAUUGAAAUCUAAACCUUUCUAUAAAAAUUAAUUGAAAUUUUGGACCUCAAAACCUUCGAAAGAGGCAAGAGAUUACCAAGAUUCUUCAAAAGCAGGUAAGGUCUCUCCGAUUAAUCACAUAAUGCUACCAAGAACAUCAAUGGAAAUUGCUGAGAUACGAAAAAAAAAAAAAAAAAAAAGAUUCUCGAAAAAUGUUUCUUGUACAACAUGGUGUUAUAACAUUGGUUUACAACAUUACGUGUAAGGCUGGGAAGUAGUGAGCGUGGACAGCUAAGAUGAAAAAAAAAAAAAAGGACUUUUCCAAGAAAUCCACUUCAAUAAGGGAGGAAAUCGUUUUAGAGGCAUCAUUUCUAUCGGAAGGGAAAAAAAUAAAAAUAGAAAAAAUGAAAAUAAAAAUAAAACUCAACCGAAGCCCCUAAUUCAUUCUCACCCAUUCAUCUGCGACUUUGAAUUUUUCUCUCGUUUCUCAAUGAUUCUCUGGUAAGAUUUUGUUUCAAAAUCUAUUUGGAAUAGUCCAAGCUUGAUUUUUUCCCGGAAUUCUUUUGACGGUGUGAAACAAUCCAUUGUAUAUUUGAUUGUUUUGUAUCUCGAUGAUUUCCAUUGGUGUUCUUGGUAAAAGUAUGUGAUUAAUCAAAGAGAACCUUGCCUGCUUUUGAAGAAUCUGGGCUUUUAUGGUAAUCUCUUCCCUCUUUUGAAGGUUUUUAGGUCCAAAAUUUCAAUUAAUUUCGAUAGAAAGGGUUAGAUUUCAAUUAAUUUUUACUGAAAGGGUUUUUAGGUGCUGUGCAUUUCUUGUAUUCUAUGCGCUCUUGUAUAUUUUCAAAUUUUGCAUUUGUUGAAAAAUGUUCUGUUCUUCUUAUGUUUCUAUUUCUUUUCCUAUGGUAUUUUAAGUUUUCACCAUUUCAAUUAUUUAUGUAAGUAUGAAACUUUUGGAAAAGAACAUUGCUUCUUUUCAGAUUUGUAGCCCCAAGUUAUUGGGUAUUUGUGUUUUAUAUGAACGAUAUGGCAGUAAAGGUAUCCUUGCUGUUUUCAGAUACUUGUUAUUGUUUGGGGUCAUAUUUUGAAAUGGUUAACCUAUUGUGUGACCUAUUUCGAAGUAGUUUGCUGUUUAAAGAUGUUUGAACUCAUUUACUUGGUAGUUUAGUGACUGAAGGUGAUAUUUGUGAAUGAAAUUAUAUUUGUUACAAGUUCAACAAUGAACGGUUGCUUCAAUCCAUUUUCUCUUAUGUUGAUAUCAUUGUUUUGCUGGAAAUGUUAUAUUAUGGAGAAGUGAUGUUUUAUUGAAAGUGUCCGCUAAUUUUGUCUUGGGAGAAUAGAUGAUGGAAAAAGUGGAAAGUAAUUCUUUGAUGGACUUCGAAAAUGUCAACAUGGAGUACAAUAUGAAUGUAGUUGAAAGUCAAACGGUGGGGGGAGAUGGAGUGAUUGUGCCAGAGGUUGGUAUGAAGUUCAAGAACAAAAAUGAAGUCUUUGAUUUUUACAAGUUAUAUGCUUACAACAUAGGUUUUUCAAUGAGAAAAAGGAAUUCGAGAAAGGAUGACGAUGGAGUUUUGCGAUACGUGACUUUCACAUGUAGAGGUUGAAAAAACGUAACACAAGCGGUUCUUUGAAGCCACAGCCUACAAUUCGAAUGGGUUGUAAAGCCAGGGUCUCUAUGUCUGCAGAUAAUCAUGGUUACUAGAGAAGUAAUAUGGUACACCUCGAUCACAAUCACAAAACAAGUCCAACGAAGUGGAGAUUGUAUUGAUGCAAUUGAUAACUAAGUGCGAUGUGAAAAAGAAGCUUGAAGUGAAUGACAUGGCUGGAAUUCCAUUAUACAAAAAUUUCAAUUCUGUAGUUGUCGAAGUCGAUGGAUAUGAAAAUAUGACAUGCAUUGAAAAAUAUUGUAGAAACUACAUUAAACAAGUUAGGCAAUUAAGCCUUGGAGAAGGAAAUGCAGGAGCAAUAUAGUCCUAUUUUUCAAAUAUGCAAGCACGGUCUGCAGGAUUUUACUUCUGUAUGGAUUUGGACAACAACUCGAGUUUAAGAAUAUAUUUUGGGCAAAUAAUCGAUAUAGGGAAGUAUAUAAGGAGUUUGGGGACGUCGUGACAUUUGAUACCACUUACUUGACUAACAAAUAUGACAUGCCUUUAGCACCUUUUGUUGGCGUCAAACACCAUGGACAAUCAACAUUGUUCGGUAGUGGUUUAGUCUCUAAUGAAAGCACGGAUACAUUUGUGUGGUUUUUUAGGACAUGACUUAAAUGUAUGCACGAUCAAGCUCCACAUGAAAUAAUUAUUGAUCAAGACAUGGCAAUGCAAAUGUCAUUCAGGUAGUUUUCUUAAAUACAAAGUAUAGAUGGUGCUAAUGACACAUUCUGAAGAAGUUGCCUGAAAAAUUUGGGUACCACAUCAAUAAAGGUUCAAUAUUCUCAGUAAUAAAUGGUUAGGUGUAGGAUUGUCAGACGGUUGAAGAAUUUGAACAAGGUCGGGGAUCGAUGAUCUAAACAUUUGAGUUGCAUGAUAACAAAUGGUUGUCGGGGUUAUAUGAGAACAAAGGUCGUUGUGUCCUUUGCUUCUUAAAAACAAAUUUUUGGAUUGGGUCAACCAAGUGAGAGCAUGAACGUAUUUUUCAAUGGGUACCUGCACUCGAAGACAUCGUUGAAACGAAUUGUUGAACAGUAUGAGUGAGCAUUGAGGAACAAGGUGGAGAAGGAGCUCCAUGCUAAUUUCAAGUCGUUCUCUCCAAUGGUUCCGAGUGCAACAACACAUGAAAUGGAAAAGCAAUUUCAAAAAGUCUACACAAUUUCAAAAUUCAAAAAAGUUCUAGCUGAGUUUACGGAUAAGGUUUACCGCAACCUCAUAUCUGCCUCUGAGGGAUGUUUUGGGACGACAUAUGAGGUACGAGAAAACGUCGUUUGCAUCGAUCGACGUGAAAAGAAAACAUUUUGUCUUGUUUCAGAGAGAUAAACGUGAAGUUGUUUGUAGUUACCACUUGUUCGAGUUUCACUAAAUCAUUUGCAGGCAUGUGAUCAUAGUAUUAAUCCGUAACGACGUCACUAUACUACCUACUAAGUAUGUACUUUGUAGGUGAAUGAGGGAUGUCAAUUGAUUGUACACGAGGAUCGCAAUAAAAUAUGAUGAUCUAGUAAGUACUCCGGGAUAGUUGAAGUAUGACAUAUGUGUUAAGCUUUCGCCGAGGUGGUAAACCUUGUGGCACAUGUUGAAGUACGGACCCGUGCGAUAAUGGAAUGGAUACAAGUUUAGUCUAAAGAGUUUUUGAUGAAAAAAUGGAGUACUGGAAACAAAAUUUUGUAGUCAUCAUACAAUUCAUUUAGGAUCGCAGAGUACUGGUUCACAAAAUGCGUGGGAUAGUUGAAGUAUGACAUAUGUGUUAAGCUUUCGCCGAGGUGGUAAACCUUGUGGCACAUGUUGAAGUACGGACCCGUGCGAUAAUGGAAUGGAUACAAGUUUAGUCUAAAGAGUUUUUGAUGAAAAAAUGGAGUACUGGAAACAAAAUUUUGUAGUCAUCAUACAAUUCAUUUAGGAUCGCAGAGUACUGGUUCACAAAAUGCGUACAACAUGAGCGCAUUGGAUCUUAAAGUGGUAAAGAGAAAUGGCACACCUAGAAACUUCGGAGGGAGAGCCCGUUGGAGUCGACUUCGAAGAAGACAAAGGUAUUUUGAUUUGUUUUCCUACAAACUUCAAGUGAAUAUUAAAAUAAAUUAUCGUUUAUUUCAAAUGGACAUACAAGCACCUUCAACAUGCAAAGGGAAGCGACCAACAGCGAGGCAUAGCAGUAUACCAGUGGGUGCACCUCAUGUUGAUGCAGCUUAACGAGAAGAAUCUUCCACAUAUUCACCAUUCACAUAUUUACAACUCUUGGUGGUUGGUAUACUUAUUAUAGCAUUUUCAUUACUUCUUUGUUACUUACUAUAGAGCCACAAGGGAAGUCAUUCGUUCACAAUUCCUUGUCCUUCGUCUAAUUGGAUCCAUCCGUUGUCGACACAUUUUAUAUUCAAUUCCAAAGGUAACAUUAUUGAUAGAAACUUAAAUGCAAUCUACGUUAUAAUGUCCUAUUGACU